UACGAAGGGGGCUAGCGUUGUUCGGAUUUACUGGGCGUAAAGGGCGCGUAGGCGGCAAUUCAAGUCAUCUGUGAAAUCUCCGGGCUUAACCCGGAACGGUCAGGUGAUACUGUUUUGCUAGAGUGCGGAAGGGGCAAUCGGAAUUCUCGGUGUAGCGGUGAAAUGCGUAGAUAUCGAGAGGAACACCAGAGGUGAAGACGGGUUGCUGGGCCGACACUGACGCUGACAGCGCGAAAGCCAGGGGAGCAAACGGG
rnacentral:rRNA from 1 species